rnacentral:misc_RNA from 1 species
AAUAAAUGCAGCUUUCAUUUGAUAAAGUUUAUCCCAUUCAACACCUUUGAACCAUGGGUGAGCCUUUAUUUCAUCAGCACCUCUGGUCCCAAGUCUCUGCUCCACAUUACACAAGAGUUUACAUAUGAGAUCUUUUGCUUCUGGAGACAGUUUUGCCUCUUCAGGAAAUUUAAGAUGAGUCCGCCAAUUUACUAUCUUUCUACAGGUGGACAUAGGUUCAUCAGAAUAGAACGGUGGGUACCCCACGAGCAUUUCAUACAUGAUCGCACCAAGUGACCACCAAUCACAU